rnacentral:lncRNA from 1 species
GUUUUCGGUCUCCUACCACGACCUGAAAUCUUCCUAAAUAAGCUCUUGUUUCUUUUGUCAUUAAGAUCAUUUGGCACCGUAGGGGACAAGGACUCUCAGGAUGACAUCAACCCACUUUGGAGUUUACAGAUGUGGAAGAAAAAAAGAUGUAUUUGUGUAUCCCUUUGAGAGGUCAGUGAUCAGGUGCAAAACGAGUAUUAGAAUAGAGGUCUGCAGCCAGCUGAGAGGGUAGGUCUUCGCUGCUGAUGUGAACUGAUCUAAGGGCAGGUUGACAGCAAGGUGCUCUUUCCUGAGCUUGACUUCAUCUUUCUUGAUGAACAGUGAUUUAAAGUGUUUUCCCACUCUGAUAACUGCAUUCAAUUCACUACUGCAGUGGAAUUAAUGAACGGGUUUGAUCAAUCAUAAUUUUCUGUAAUUCUAAUAGUUUUCUAAGAUUAAACUGAUGAGGAAAAAAUGUUCCUUGCAGAAGUCAGCUGUCUGGCAUUAUCUCAUAACAAACCAACUCCUGAAAUACACUCAGUGAGUUAUGCAGCUCCUUAACCAGGCUAGAUUAAUC